UGAUAGCUAUGGAAGUAAAUUAAUGCCAAAUGUUUUUGAAUUAAAAAAGCUUGCUGAAUUACAAUAAUUGAAAAAAAUAUGCAUUGCAAUAGCCGUACCUGCAUUUAAAUGCAUUUAAUUUUUAAGUCUUGCAUAAUUAUGGGCUGAAAUUCAACAUGGUUGUAUAUUUAAGACAUGAAUAUUUAAAAUAAAAACAUUUCAAACUGAUUUUCAUAAUAAAAAAUUCAAGAAUUCAUAUUCACCUUUCAGAUUUCACUUCCAAAAUAUUCGAUCUGUUUAAAAAUACAACCUACAAUAUUCAACAGGCAAGUUUCAGUCCAUUUUAUUUCGCUUUACAAAUUCGCUUCCACAAAUUCAGUGGUUCAAAUUCGACAGUAAAUUCAACGUUUCACAUCCGGGAACAACAGGAAAAUCAGUAGAUUACUGAUCACAAUCUCAUCUGCUGUAAAUCGUCUUCACCGGCAGGGGGUGCAAGCGCUACUUUGUUUUAACAAGCAUCAACGAAACCGUCACGAGAGGCCUUCAUAAAACAUCAUUUGACGAAAUGGACCGAGCGCAUUUGCUUUUGGAUUAUGUUUUGGAAAGACUCCGUACACGCUUGGAAAAUGCUGUUGGACGCCUACCCCUUGACAUGGACUACCUGGAGUUCAUCUGCUCUCAAGAAUUAGUCUUUUUAAGUGCUGUGACCAAUUUAGUUACCAUUCCAGCUGAUAUUUUCGAGGGCAUCACAGAACUGCUCAGACUAGUUCGACUAAACCUGUCAGACGGGGAGACGCGCACUUCGACUAUUCUGCAGGAGUCAGGGUCGAUGGGACGACCACGUCUUCUAAUCUCACCAGACUACAUCACAAUCUCCUGGACAUGAACUUUUCUGUUCCAACCAUUGCUUGCAUGCUUGGAGUAAGUACACGCACAGUUUUCAGACGAAUGGCUGAAUGUAACCUCUCCAUUCGGGCGCGAUAUAGCACUCUCACGGACGAAGAGUUAGAUGAUUGUGUGACAGAUGUAAAGCAACACAUGCCUCAGUGUGGAUACAGAAUGAUGAGAGCAGCUGUAAAGGGACACCAAGUGCAGUUCGACCGGGUCAGGGCAGAUACAGUGGGAGUCAUGUCCCGAAGGGCACAGUUGGGCUGCGUGGUACGAAGGACCCAUUCAGUGUCGGGUCAUAGGUCAAUAAUGCACAUUGACACCAACUAUAAACGGAUUCGCUACAAUAUAGUCAUCUUCGGGGUGUGGAU